GUGCACGAGGUCAUCCGCUUAAAUUGAGUUAUAUUUUUUUCCACCCAGAAAGUGAAAUACACGGCCCCCAGCGACUGGACGAAAGCACGCAGUAACUCCUUUCUCCCGAGGAGAGUUUCAAGUGACUUCAGCUUGGGUGACCCAGGUCAUUUGACUGGAAUAUUGGUCCGUGUGCACUGAAUGAGAAUCUGGCCCUACUCAUGGUACCCGGACCUGUUGGGUUUGACUCUUGAUUUGCUUCUUUGAGUGUUGACUGGCUGAGGACUGCUGUGUGUGGUGGCUGUAAAUAAAUGGAGCUUGACCUCUC